rnacentral:rRNA from 1 species
UACGAAGGGGGCUAGCGUUGUUCGGAAUUACUGGGCGUAAAGCGCACGUAGGCGGAUCGAUCAGUCAGGGGUGAAAUCCCAGGGCUCAACCCUGGAACUGCCUUUGAUACUGUCGAUCUGGAGUAUGGAAGAGGUGAGUGGAAUUCCGAGUGUAGAGGUGAAAUUCGUAGAUAUUCGGAGGAACACCAGUGGCGAAGGCGGCUCACUGGUCCAUUACGUGACGCUGAGGUGCGAAAGCGUGGGGAGCAAACAGG